ACAUCCAGAGAACUUAGCAGAGAUGCUUUGGUGCCUUCGGGAACUCUGAGGCAGGUGCUGCAUGGCUGUCGUCAGCUCGUGUUGUGAAAUGUUGGGUUAAGUCCCGCAACGAGCGCAACCCUUAUCCUUUGUUGCCAGCGGUUCGGCCGGGAACUCAAAGGAGACUGCCGGUGAUAAACCGGAGGAAGGUGGGGAUGACGUCAAGUCAUCAUGGCCCUUACGGCCAGGGCUACACACGUGCUACAAUGGCGCAUACAAAGAGAAGCGACCUCGCGAGAGCAAGCGGACCUCAUAAAGUGCGUCGUAGUCCGGAUUGGAGUCUGCAACUCGACUCCAUGAAGUCGGAAUCGCUAGUAAUCGUAGAUCAGAAUGCUACGGUGAAUACGUUCCCGGGCCUUGUACACACCGCCCGUCACACCAUGGGAGUGGGUUGCAAAAGAAGUAGGUAGCUUAACCUUCGGGAGGGCGCUUACCACUUUGUGAUUCAUGACUGGGGUGAAGUCGUAACAAGGUAAGCGUAGCGAG
rnacentral:rRNA from 1 species